GAGNNAACGCUGGCGGUAGGCCUAACACAUGCAAGUCGAACGGCAGCACAGGAGAGCUUGCUCUCUGGGUGGCGAGUGGCGGACGGGUGAGGAAUGCAUCGGAAUCUACUCUUUCGUGGGGGAUAACGUAGGGAAACUUACGCUAAUACCGCAUACGACCUACGGGUGAAAGCCGGGGACCUUCGGGCCUGGCGCGAAUGAAUGAGCCGAUGCCCGAUUAGCUAGUUGGCGGGGUAAGAGCCCACCAAGGCGACGAUCGGUAGCUGGUCUGAGAGGAUGAUCAGCCACACUGGAACUGAGACACGGUCCAGACUCCUACGGGAGGCAGCAGUGGGGAAUAUUGGACAAUGGGCGCAAGCCUGAUCCAGCCAUACCGCGUGGGUGAAGAAGGCCUUCGGGUUGUAAAGCCCUUUUGUUGGGAAAGAAAAGCAGCUGGUUAAUACCCGGUUGUCNUGACGGUA
rnacentral:rRNA from 1 species